rnacentral:rRNA from 1 species
AUACGGAGGGAGCAAGCGUUAUUCGGAAUCACUGGGCGUAAAGGACGCGUAGGCGGGUUUGUAAGUCAGGUGUGAAAUCCUACAGCUCAACUGUAGAACUGCACUUGAAACUACAGACCUAGAGUAUGGAAGGGGCAGAUGGAAUUAGUGGUGUAGGGGUAAAAUCCGUAGAUAUCCCUAGGAAUACCGAAAGCGAAGGCGAUCUGCUGGGACAUUACUGACGCUGAGGCGUGAAAGCGUGGGGAGCAAACAGGAUUAGAAACCCUAGUAGUCC